AUCGCUGCUGUGAUGACAGACCACCCGGCUCUAUGUCUCUCCACUCUUUCUCUCGCUAACCAAGGACCUGUCUCUCUCUGCUUCUCUCUUAGAGACCGACAUGGACGCUAUAGCCAUAUCUUUCUAAAAAAAACUCUAAUUUUCUCUAUCCAAAAACCUUAAAAUCUCCCAAACCUCUCAAAACAAGAACCUAAUCCCUAGUCAUUUGGAAGAAAGCCUGUCUCUUAAAGCCCUAAACUUCUAAUUGAAGAAUAGUGGGUUAAAGAUUGUGAAAUUUCAGUUUGAUCAAGGCAGAAAGCUUUUGAUCCAGCAAAAUCCUCAAGCAUCAGGGAAAUAUUGUGUUCCAUGGCAAUUACCUCAUGCGUCUGAAUGUAAACCUGAUAAACCAAGAAAAAAGAAUUUUCACAUGCUGAUCCAGGAUUUAAGGAAUCCAUAAUUUUGCCCCAACACAUGGUGAUUGUUAUUUUUUUUAACAUAUAGAAGAAGAUGAUGAAUGCUUGGAAAAACUGCCCAACAGGAUCUCUGGUCUAUUGUGGAUGAUCUAAAUAGUAAAUUAAUACAACCGCUAAUACAAAUUUUUUACGGAUUAACUUGGUUAAUUACCUAGUCUCCAAGUUGAUAACUUCUACCAAACACAGGUUUCCCAGCUCCCUUUAAAUUCUAGAAAAGUUACCAAACACAGUAUUUUUCACUACAAGUAGAAAGAUCUUCUAGCUUCUCAGUGAAAGAGGGGGGCCUAAAAAACCUGUGCCUCCCUUUCGAAGAAGAGAAAGUCCGUGAAGCCUGUGAAAACCCGAGGUUGAAGAAGGAGAAAGACCCCCACAGCCGCCCUCGCUCCAUCGCCAUUAUCACAGAGCUUGAAGAGAUUGAAGCUACGAAUCAGGUGCUUGUUCUUUUUUAAUAUGGAUCCUAAACACUCAGCAGAAACAGUGAGGCAUUUGGAGAAGGAAGGUGAAUCUCUGAUGGAAACUUAUCGUUCCAUGUCACAUCAGUUGCAUCGGCUUCAGAAAGGAAAUGUUGAUGAUAAUGUAAGGAAUGUAGAAAGUGGGUCGCCUGAUGAAUUGGCCGCCAAGAAGGGCGACAAAAGGUAGCAGGUUUGAUGCAGUUAAAGCUUGGAUCUUAGCAGUGCAUAUUUUGGGCACUUCACUGGCUUCACUACAAAAAACCCAGAGCAUCAUAUGUUAGUGGCAGCUUAUGGAUCCAUCCUGAAGAACCAGGGAAAGAGACAAAACCACUUACGUCUACUCUGGGCUUUCAGUGUGAUAUACUUUUUUCUCUGAAGUUUGAAGGUCAAGUGUAUUAGUGAUUGCAUCGAAUAAGUGGGCUCAUCUAUUAGAUGCAGAUGUAUUAUAAUCCGUUGAGGUUUAUGAAAGUUUUGACGACUUCAUGAGAUUUUUGUGGUUGCGUCACUUACAACACCUUUUGUUCUUGGGGAUCUUUGGGCAAACUUUUCUUUACUUGAAUUUUUGGUCAUGAGUAAGGCACCUCUUUAGGUUUCUCAGGUCUUCAUUUGGUAUAUGGUUUUAGCAGCUCUUUGGAAUGCCUCUCUAGUUAUAGAAGCUCUUUGGAAUGCCUCUCUUGUAUAACUGGAAUUAAUGAACAUUUGCCCUUAUAAUGCAUGUCGUUGCAAUGAGUAAUGCCACCUUUAUUGCUUGGU